ACGAACGCUGGCGGCGUGGAUAAGACAUGCAAGUCGAACGAGAGAAUUGCUAGCUUGCUAAUAAUUCUCUAGUGGCGCACGGGUGAGUAGCACGUGAGUAACCUGCCCCCGAGAGCGGGAUAGCCCUGGGAAACUGGGAUUAAUACCGCAUAGUAUCGAAAGAUUAAAGCAGCAAUGCGCUUGGGGAUGGGCUCGCGGCCUAUUAGUUAGUUGGUGAGGUAACGGCUCACCAAGGCGAUGACGGGUAGCCGGUCUGAGAGGAUGUCCGGCCACACUGGAACUGAGACACGGUCCAGACACCUACGGGUGGCAGCAGUCGAGAAUCAUUCACAAUGGGGGAAACCCUGAUGGUGCGACGCCGCGUGGGGGAAUGAAGGUCUUCGGAUUGUAAACCCCUGUCAUGUGGGAGCAAAUUAAAAAGAUAGUACCACAAGAGGAAGAGACGGCUAACUCUGUGCCAGCAGCCGCGGUAAUACAGAGGUCUCAAGCGUUGUUCGGAAUCACUGGGCGUAAAGCGUGCGUAGGCUGUUUCGUAAGUCGUGUGUGAAAGGCGCGGGCUCAACCCGCGGACGGCACAUGAUACUGCGAGACUAGAGUAAUGGAGGGGGAACCGGAAUUCUCGGUGUAGCAGUGAAAUGCGUAGAUAUCGAGAGGAACACUCGUGGCGAAGGCGGGUUCCUGGACAUUAACUGACGCUGAGGCACGAAGGCCAGGGGAGCGAAAGGGAUUAGAUACCCCUGUAGUCCUGGCAGUAAACGGUGCACGCUUGGUGUGCGGGGAAUCGACCCCCUGCGUGCCGGAGCUAACGCGUUAAGCGUGCCGCCUGGGGAGUACGGUCGCAAGAUUAAAACUCAAAGAAAUUGACGGGGACCCGCACAAGCGGUGGAGUAUGUGGCUUAAUUCGAUGCAACGCGAAGAACCUUACCUGGGCUUGACAUGUAAUGAACAACAUGUGAAAGCAUGCGACUCUUCGGAGGCGUUACACAGGUGCUGCAUGGCCGUCGUCAGCUCGUGUCGUGAGAUGUUUGGUUAAGUCCAGCAACGAGCGCAACCCCUGUUGCCAGUUACCAGCACGUGAAGGUGGGGACUCUGGCGAGACUGCCCAGAUCAACUGGGAGGAAGGUGGGGACGACGUCAGGUCAGUAUGGCCCUUAUGCCCAGGGCUGCACACGUACUACAAUGCCCAGUACAGAGGGGGCCGAAGCCGCGAGGCGGAGGAAAUCCUAAAAACUGGGCCCAGUUCGGACUGUAGGCUGCAACCCGCCUACACGAAGCCGGAAUCGCUAGUAAUGGCGCAUCAGCUACGGCGCCGUGAAUACGUUCCCGGGUCUUGUACACACCGCCCGUCACAUCAUGGAAGCCGGUCGCACCCGAAGUAUCUGAAGCCAACCGCAAGGAGGCAGGGUCCUAAGGUGAGACUGGUAACUGGGAUG
rnacentral:rRNA from 1 species